UACGUAGGGGGCAAGCGUUGUCCGGAAUCAUUGGGCGUAAAGCGCGUGUAGGCGGCCCGAUAAGUCCGCUGUGAAAGUCCAGGGCUCAACCCUGGAAUGCCGGUGGAUACUGUCGGGCUCGAGUCCGGAAGAGGCGAGUGGAAUUCCGUGGUGUAGCGGUGAAAUGCGCAGAUAUCAGGAGGAACACCAAUGGCGAAGGCAGCUCGCUGGGACGGUACUGACGCUGAGACGCGAAAGCGUGGGGAGCAAACAGG
rnacentral:rRNA from 1 species